CAAUAGCGUAUAUUAAAGUUGUUGCAGUUAAAAAGCUCGUAGUUGGAUUUCGGAGCCGACCGGGCGGUCUGUCGAGAGACACGCACUGCUCGGUGGCUCUUCCUCUCAGAGGCCCUGGCUGCCCUUAACUGGAGCGGGCAGGGGAUUCGGGACGUUUACUUUGAAAAAAUUAGAGUGUUCAAAGCAGGCCGGUGCUUGGAUACAUUAGCAUGGAAUAAUGGAAUAGGGCUUGGGUCCUAUUUUGUUGGUUUUCGGGACCGAGGUCAUGGUUAAGAGGGACAGUUGGGGGCAUUCGUAUUCAAUUGUCAGAGGUGAAAUUCUUGGAUUUAUGGAAGACGAACAACUGCGAAAGCAUUUGCCAAGGAUGUUUUCAUUAA
rnacentral:rRNA from 1 species